GUCCACGCCGUAAACUAUGGAGGCUAGCCGUUGUACAGCUUGCUGUUCAGUGGCGCAGCUAACGCAUUAAGCCUCCCGCCUGGGGAGUACGGUCGCAAGAUUAAAAACUCAAAGGAAUUGACGGGGGCCCGCACAAGCGGUGGAGCAUGUGGUUCAAUUCGAAGCAACGCGAAGAACCUUACCAGCCCUUGACAUGCCCCGUGUGGGAUCCAGAGAAGGAUCUCUUCAGUUCGGCUGGCGGGGACACAGGUGCUGCAUGGCUGUCGU
rnacentral:rRNA from 1 species